rnacentral:rRNA from 1 species
AUUGAACGCUGGCGGCAUGCUUUACACAUGCAAGUCGAACGGUAACAGGCCUUCGGGUGCUGACGAGUGGCGAACGGGUGAGUAAUGCAUCGGAACGUACCCAGAGGUGGGGGAUAACGCAGCGAAAGCUGUGCUAAUACCGCAUGUGAUCUGAGGAUGAAAGCGGGGGACCGAGCAGCAAUGUUUGGCCUCGCGCCUUUGGAGCGGCCGAUGUCGGAUUAGCUAGUUGGUGGGGUAACGGCCUACCAAGGCGACGAUCCGUAGCUGGUCUGAGAGGACGACCAGCGACACUGGGACUGAGACACGGCCCAGACUCCUACGGGAGGCAGCAGUGGGGAAUUUUGGACAAUGGGCGCAAGCCUGAUCCAGCAAUGCCGCGUGCGGGAAGAAGGCCUUCGGGUUGUAAACCGCUUUUGGCAGGAACGAAACGGUGUCCGCUAAUACCGAGCGCUAAUGACGGUACCUGCAGAAUAAGCACCGGCUAACUACGUG